UACGGAGGGUGCAAGCGUUAAUCGGAAUUACUGGGCGUAAAGCGCACGCAGGCGGUUGAUUGAGUCAGAUGUGAAAUCCCCGGGCUUAACCUGGGAAUAGCAUUUCAGACUGGGAGUCUAGAGUACUUUAGGGAGGGGUAGAAUUCCACGUGUAGCGGUGAAAUGCGUAGAGAUGUGGAGGAAUACCGGUGGCGAAGGCGACUUUCUGGCAAUCAUCAGACGCUGAGGUACGAAAGCGUGGGUAGCAAACAGG
rnacentral:rRNA from 1 species